CCUACGGGGGGCAGCAGUGGGGAAUAUUGGACAAUGGGGGCAACCCUGAUCCAGCCAUGCCGCGUGUGUGAAGAAGGCCCUCGGGUUGUAAAGCACUUUCAGUGAGGAAGAACGCCUGGUGGUUAAUACCCAUCAGGAAAGACAUCACUCACAGAAGAAGCACCGGCUAACUCCGUGCCAGCAGCCGCGGUAAUACGGAGGGUGCGAGCGUUAAUCGGAAUUACUGGGCGUAAAGCGCGCGUAGGUGGCUUGAUAAGCCGGUUGUGAAAGCCCCGGGCUCAACCUGGGAACGGCAUCCGGAACUGUCAAGCUAGAGUGCAGGAGAGGAAGGUAGAAUUCCCGGUGUAGCGGUGAAAUGCGUAGAGAUCGGGAGGAAUACCAGUGGCGAAGGCGGCCUUCUGGACUGAAACUGACACUGAGGUGCGAAAGCGUGGGUAGCAAACAGGAUUAGAUACCCUUGUAGUC
rnacentral:rRNA from 1 species